ACACCUGUGACACACUAACAAUGUAUCUACAAAGAGAAGAUAUAACGAACAAGAAGCGUUCAACAACCUCUACAAUAGAUACAAUACAUUAAGUAAAAUGGAGAGAAAUGAGGGUAUUUUUUUGGGGAAGAUGUGGUACAGGUCAGAGAUAUAAUUUUAAGAAAAACUUACCGAUUUUACCCUGUUUUUCAAUGAAAGUGUGUGCCAAAAAAGAGCAAAACCUGGAGCAACCAAUAUUGGAAUAUGAACAAUACCGCAAGAUGGUUUCUGCUUUCAAUUGUUGCUUUCAAGUCAUUGCUGCAAAUAGGUACCUCGUCCAAAAAGUAUACUCUCGAACAUUCAAAUCCAUGGACUCUCUCCAUGGAUGCUGUAUAUGUUAGGCGCCAUUUUUUGGAUGUAACGAGUGAGUCACCAGCUAGUCAUCAGCUACAAUUUUAGCGAUUUUUAAUAUUUUGUGUGUAGUGAACUUUGUAUAAUCUUUACUACAAUGGUGAUUAGUUGUUCAGCAUUGUUCAGCCUUCAAGUGUAAAGCCGCAUCGAUAAGAAAGAGCCAGGAGUUCCGUUUCCUAGGUAAAUAAACAGUCCACUCCA